GAUGAAGAACGCAGCGAAAUGCGAUAAGUAAUGCGAAUUGCAGAAUCCCGUGAACCAUCGAGUCUUUGAACGCAAGUUGCGCCCGAAGCCAUUAGGCCGAGGGCACGCCUGCCUGGGUGUCACACACCGUUACCCUCGCGCCAACGUCCAUCGUUGGCCGCGGCGCGGGGCGUGCGCUGACCUCCCGCGAGCGGGGUCUCGUGGUUGGUUGAAAAUCGAGUUCGCGGUCGAGGGUGCCGUGAUGAAAUGGUGGAUGGGCGACGCCCGAGGCCAAUCACGCGCGACUCUGUCCGGCUCGGACUCCUGGACCCCUUCGGCGUCUCCGGACGCUCUUUGGCGAGACCUCAGGUCAGGCGGGGCUACCCGCUGAGUUUAAGCAUAUCAAUAAGCGGAGGA
rnacentral:misc_RNA from 1 species